UACGUAGGGACCAAGCGUUGUUCGGAUUUACUGGGCGUAAAGGGCGCGUAGGCGGCGUGGUAAGUCACUUGUGAAAUCUCUGAGCUCAACUCAGAACGGCCAAGUGAUACUGCUGUGCUAGAGUGCAGAAGGGGCAAUCGGAAUUCUUGGUGUAGCGGUGAAAUGCGUAGAUAUUAGGAAGAACACCAGUGGCGAAGGCGGCUCACUGGUCCGGUACUGACGCUGAGGUGCGAAAGCGUGGGGAGCAAACAGG
rnacentral:rRNA from 1 species